rnacentral:rRNA from 1 species
UACGAAGGGGGCUAGCGUUGCUCGGAAUCACUGGGCGUAAAGCGCACGUAGGCGGACUCUUAAGUCGGUGGUGAAAUCCUGGAGCUCAACUCCAGAACUGCCUUCGAUACUGGGAGUCUCGAGUUCGGGAGAGGUGAGUGGAACUGCGAGUGUAGAGGUGAAAUUCGUAGAGAUCCGGAAGAACACCGGUGGCGAAGGCGGCCUGCUGGGCAGUAGCUGACACUGAGGCGCGACAGCGUGGGGAGCAAACAGG